GGGAGUGGCAAGCGUUAUCCGGAAUUAUUGGGCGUAAAGCGUCCGCAGGCGGCCUGACAAGUCUGCUGUUAAAGCGUGGGAGCUUAACUCCAUUUCAGCAGUGGAAACUGUCAGGCUUGAGUGUGGUAGGGGCAGAGGGAAUUCCCGGUGUAGCGGUGAAAUGCGUAGAUAUCGGGAAGAACACCAGUGGCGAAAGCGCUCUGCUGGGCCAUCACUGACGCUCAUGGACGAAAGCCAGGGGAGCGAAAGGGAUUAGAUACCCCUGUAGUCCUGGCCGUAAACGAUGAACACUAGGUGUCGGGGGAAUCGACCCCUCCGGUGUCGUAGCCAACGCGUUAAGUGUUCCGCCUGGGGAGUACGCACGCAAGUGUG
rnacentral:rRNA from 1 species